rnacentral:tRNA from 1 species
AUGUUKAUAGUAUAAUUAUCUUGAGUAUGCUUUCUUUCCAAGUAGGUGGUCUCGUUUGAGUCAAUGUA